GCCCGUGUUGCUCAGUGGUUAGAGCAUUGGCCCACACACCGAAGGGUUGCAGGUUCAAUUCCUGGUCAAGGGCA
rfam:Myotis lucifugus cont2.68952, whole genome shotgun sequence.